UGAGGUGUAGCUCAGUGGCAGAGCACUUGCCUGGCAAACAUGAGGUCCUAGGUUCAGUCUGCAGCACUGCAA
rnacentral:tRNA from 1 species